rnacentral:rRNA from 1 species
GCCAGACUCCUACGGGAGGCAGCAGUGAGGAAUAUUGGUCAAUGGGCGAGAGCCUGAACCAGCCAAGUCGCGUGAGGGAAGACGGUCCUAUGGAUUGUAAACCUCUUUUGCCGGGGAGCAAAAAGCGGUACGUGUACCGCAUCGAGAGUACCCGGAGAAAAAGCAUCGGCUAACUCCGUGCCAGCAGCCGCGGUAAUACGGAGGAUGCGAGCGUUAUCCGGAUUUAUUGGGUUUAAAGGGUGCGCAGGCGGCGAGUUAAGUCAGCGGUAAAAUUUCGGGGCUCAACCCCGACAAGCCGUUGAAACUGGCAGACUUGAGUUGGCGAGAAGUACGCGGAAUGCGCGGUGUAGCGGUGAAAUGCAUAGAUAUCGCGCAGAACUCCGAUUGCGAAGGCAGCGUACCGGCGCCAGACUGACGCUGAGGCACGAAAGCGUGGGGAUCGAACAGGAUUAGAUACCCUUGUACA